rnacentral:sRNA from 1 species
GUUGGGUUCAGUGGCAUGCACCUGCAGUCCCAGCUACUCGGGAAGCUGAGGCAGGAGGAUCACCUGAGCCCAGGAGUUCAAGGCAAGCUAGGCAAAAGAAUAAGACCCUGGCUCAA